rnacentral:rRNA from 1 species
AUUGAACGCUGGCGGCAUGCUUUACACAUGCAAGUCGAACGGUAACAGGCCGCUAGGUGCUGACGAGUGGCGAACGGGUGAGUAAUGCAUCGGAACGUGCCCAGCCGUGGGGGAUAACUACUCGAAAGAGUAGCUAAUAUCGCAUACGAUCUAUGGAUGAAAGCGGGGGAGCGUAAGGCCUCGCGCGAUUGGAGCGGCCGAUGCCAGAUGAGAUAGUUGGUGGGGUAAAGGCUCACCAAGCCAACGAUCUGUAGGUGAUCUGAGAGGACGACCAGCCACACGGGAACGGGAACACGGCCCAGGCUCCUGCGGGAGGCAGCAGUGGGGAAUGUUAGACAAUGGGCGCAAACCUGACCCAGCAGUGCCGCGUGCAAGGAAAAGGCCUUCGGGUUGUGAACAGCUUUUGUACGGAACGAAACGGCUCUGGUUAAUACCCAGGGCUAAUGACGGUACCGGAAGAAUAAGCACCGGCUAACUACGUG